GGGCCGGUAGCUCAGCCAGGUAGAGCACCCGGCUCAUAAACAGGCUCAAUCGGCCUGUUUGGAGACCGGGGGGUCCCGGGUUCAAGUCCCGGCCGGCCCA
rnacentral:tRNA from 1 species